rnacentral:tRNA from 1 species
UCCCUGGCGGUCCAGUGAUUAGGACUCGGCGCUCUCAAUGCCAGAGCCCAGGGUUCGAUCCCUGGUUGGGGAA